UUACGGCCAUAUCACGUUGCAGCACCAGUUCUUGUACGAUUAUUGAAGUUAAGCAAUAUCGAACCUAGUCAGUACCGAGAUAAGUGAACCGCUUGGGAAUACCAGGUGUUGUAAG